CCGGCCACCAGACACUUGCUGCCAGCUGGAGGGUCUUUGGCAGUGUUGCCCAACUCGAGCCAUUUCACUGUUUUGGUCAACUCCACAGUUUUGCAUUUGUCCAUUUGACGUCAUGAAGCGAAACCUGGACCCUACAGAGGUUGCAAAGAUGGUCAAACUUCUCCAGGAUGGCAGAUCAAUGUCUUUGCCAGAAGGUUUGCUAUGUGUCCCAGCACAAAUUUUAAAACCCUUUUCUUUUUCCACAUAAAUAGCCUCAAAUAUGAGUGCUCCGGUUUGCUUCAGAUGACUGCAAUAAAAGCAGGGAAAAGAAGAGCUUUCCUUGCUAAAGUAGUAAAGGAGCCCUUCUCUACAUCACACGUUGACCAAGUUUUUUAGCAACAGGAAACUCAUGUGUUGCAAUGAUAACUCACUGAAGCUCAUUUACUUGCUAAUAGUAGCUGUGUUUCUACACAACGUACUGAUUGUAACUCAAUCAAUCAAUUAAUCAAUCAAUCAAUUUAUUUAUAAGCACAUUCAAAAACAACACAGGUUGCUGCACAUAGUAAAAAAGUAAAAAGUAGAUCAAAGAUACACAAAGAACAAGACAAAACUCACUAACUAACUGAUCUCAGAGCAAUGAAAGCAUAUCCAGCAGCACCUUGCCACACACGCUGGUCCCCCUUUAGGUCAAGCACUGCUUCUGGGUCCUGACAGAACCCCACUGUGGGGUUCUGUCCCCACAGUAUCUGAGAGCAGCUCUGAUACUGAAGGACCCGUUCCACCCCAGCAAUAAACUGUUCCGGCUUCUGCAAUCAGGCAGAAGGUUCCGCACCAUCCGGACAAGAACAGAGGGGCCCACAACCAACCAUAACAAACUCAGACAGGGCUCACUUAUUCCUAGUCCCAUUUCAUGCCUGAUCCUUCUGACUUCAUUGCGGCACAAGCCACUUUAACACCCCACUCACACAAUGUACAUUCCCAAAUUUUGAACUGUAAAUUUCCAGAUUGUUUUAUUCUAUUUGACAUGAACGUAUAUAAUUCACUCACUUAUUGCACAUGUCCUCUUUGUAUAUAUCUACUUACUUACUGUAUAUAAUGUUUUUUCUCUCUCUAUUUUGCACAGUCGAGGAGCGCAUCAGGUCACAUUUCUCUACGUGUUAUACUUAUAUAACCAUGUACGUGACAAAUAAAAGGAUCUUGAAUCUUGAAUCUGCGGUAACGUUAAUUCAGACUGAACCAUUUGUCUAGUAGUUUGAAUAGUAUGAUGAUUUCACUGGUCCACAGUGUGGUCACAAGAUAACAUACACACACAAGAUAAAAACACUUCAGUUUUUCAGAUAGAACAUAUCUUCUUUUCCUUCCUAUGUUGAUUCCACUGAAAGCCACAGUUUUUUAUGCAUGACACUGAGCAUGAAGGAUGUGGUCUCACCAUGAAAAUUAAUGAGACAGCAAAAUAGAGAUAUAGGAAGUGAUGCAUGCUGGUAUAAAAACUUAAAACUUUAUUGUUGUUUCAAAAAUUUAUCACAAAUAACUAUUUGCAGCCCACAUUGUUACUGUAUGUACAUUGUACAUUUAUGACUGACACUUUCAGCCACUGUUAGUGUUUCUAGAUGGUCUAAAAGCUAAGAUUAUAAUCACCACAUGUCCUUUUUCUUUUUGUUGUAUAUGUUUUUCAAUUUUAAAAAAAAAUGCUUCUUGGACAUCAACUUUAGUUGUGGUUAGUCCCAUCCACUGCAGGAAACUAAAGCAGCUACAAAAUAUUAAAAACUUUUAUAGGACACAAUCACCCUGAUGGUUUUUGGAUUACUGGUAUUUAAAUGUCAUGGCGCCCCUAGUGGCAGACAUGUUUGCAACGCGAUACUGCUUACAGGGAAGAGGUGGCUCAGCUGGUGUCCUGGUGCCUGGAAAAGAAUCGCUCCUUAAAUGCUGAGAAGACUAAGGAGAUGAUUAUUGACCCAAGGACGAGCACGCCCCACUAUACAUCAACGGGACUCAGGUGGAGAGGGUGAAGACCUUCAAAUUCCUCGGCACCCACAUCAGUGAGGAUCUCAACUGGACCCAUAACACACAGCAGAUCAUCAAGAAGGCUCAACAAUGACUCAUCUUCCUAAGGAAGCUGAGGAAAUUUGGAUUAACUUCCAAACCGCUCAGCAACUUUUACAGAUGCACAGUGGAGGGUAUCCUGACAAACUGCAUCAUGGGAACAGCACCACCCAGGACAGGAAGGCUCUCCAACGUGUUAUUAAAACAGCACAAUUCAUCUGUGGAGUACUCCUCACACCACUUCAGGACAUUUACCACACCCAGGUCAGAAAAAGGGCACAGAAUAUCAUUAAGGACAGAACACACAAUUCACACUCCUGCCAUCUGGCUGACGCUACAGGAGUUUGAAAGCAAGGACAACCAGACUAAAACACAGUUUCUAUCCACAGGCCACCAGGCAGCUGAAUCACUGACUAAUUGUUGAACUGUAGUUAUCUUUAACCUGUAAUUCGCAAUUUUGUACAUUUAUAUACAACAUAAUACAACUUCAUACAAUAUAAACAUUUUAAUAUUGCAUAUUCUGCAUAUAUUACCACUGUGACAGUGUUGCAUCUACUUGCACUUUAAAUUCUGACUACCCACACAUAAGCUACAUAAGCACUUGUUUUACUUUAUUUUUUUAUUUUCUAUCUCAGAAUUAAGUUAUUCUUUAUUUUAGUUAGUUGUUUAUUUAAUUUUGUGAAGGGAACCUGCAAAGUAAGAAUUUCAUUGCUCUGUGUAACCACUUGGAUUUUGUGGUGUAUAUGACAAUAAACUUCUUGAAUAUCUUGAAUCUUGAAUUUAGUUGUGGUCACUGAAGACCACAAAAGAGUUUCUACAGGUACAAAUCUGUAAACAUGUAACGUGUCUGUUUGCAAAAAGAACGUUAUUUUUAAUCAAGUGUUAAUUUCCCACAAAGUUCAAUCUGUUCAUCGUGCCUUUUCAGUGGGAGAAACUGUUCGUAACUCAACCAAGUGACUUCUUCAGUAUCAGCUCACAGUGGUUAUGACAACGGGAUAUUAACUGACCCCAAGGCCAAUUGUUAGCCAGUAGUCAGUAUAUUUUAAUGCAGAACAUUUAAACUUUUAUUGUAAUAAAACAGAAUUUGUCUAUUCUGUAGUGUUAAUAUUUUUAGUAUUGAGAAUAGAAUACUUCUUCUACAACUGUAAAA